rnacentral:rRNA from 1 species
UACGGGGGGGGCAAGCGUUGUUCGGAAUUACUGGGCGUAAAGGGCUCGUAGGCGGCCAACUAAGUCGGACGUGAAAUCCCUCGGCUCAACCGGGGAGCUGCGUCCGAUACUGGAUGGCUUGAGUUCGGGAGAGGGAUGCGGAAUUCCAGGUGUAGCGGUGAAAUGCGUAGAUAUCUGGAGGAACACCGGUGGCGAAGGCGGCAUCCUGGACCGACACUGACGCUGAGGAGCGAAAGCAUGGGUAGCGAACAGG